rnacentral:rRNA from 1 species
AGAGUUUGAUCAUGGCUCAGGACGAACGCUGGCGGCGUGCUUAACACAUGCAAGUCGAACGGAAAGGCCCUUCGGGGUACUCGAGUGGCGAACGGGUGAGUAACACGUGGGUGAUCUGCCCUGCACUUUGGGAUAAGCCUGGGAAACUGGGUCUAAUACCGAAUAUGACCACGCUCUUCAUGGGGUGUGGUGGAAAGCUUUUGCGGUGUGGGAUGGGCCCGCGGCCUAUCAGCUUGUUGGUGGGGUAAUGGCCUACCAAGGCGACGACGGGUAGCCGGCCUGAGAGGGUGACCGGCCACACUGGGACUGAGAUACGGCCCAGACUCCUACGGGAGGCAGCAGUGGGGAAUAUUGCACAAUGGGCGCAAGCCUGAUGCAGCGACGCCGCGUGAGGGAUGACGGCCUUCGGGUUGUAAACCUCUUUCACCAGGGACGAAGCGCAAGUGACGGUACCUACAGAAGAAGGACCGGCCAACUACGUGCCAGCAGCCGCGGUAAUACGUAGGGUCCGAGCGUUGUCCGGAAUUACUGGGCGUAAAGAGCUCGUAGGUGGUUUGUCGCGUUGUUCGUGAAAACUCACAGCUUAACUGUGGGCGUGCGGGCGAUACGGGCAGACUAGAGUACUGCAGGGGAGACUGGAAUUCCUGGUGUAGCGGUGGAAUGCGCAGAUAUCAGGAGGAACACCGGUGGCGAAGGCGGGUCUCUGGGCAGUAACUGACGCUGAGGAGCGAAAGCGUGGGUAGCGAACAGGAUUAGAUACCCUGGUAGUCC